rnacentral:rRNA from 1 species
GAACGCUAGCGGCAGGCUUAAUACAUGCAAGUCGUGGAGCAGCAUGAGUAGCAAUACUUGAUGGCGACCGGCAAACGGGUGAGGAACACGUACACAACCUUCCUUCAAGCGGGGAAUAGCCCAGAGAAAUUUGGAUUAAUACCCCAUAAUAUAUUUGAUAAGGCAUCUUAUUAAUAUUAAAGCUUCGGCACUUGAUGAUGGGUGUGCGGCUGAUUAGAUAGUUGGCGGGGUAACGGCCCACCAAGUCUACGAUCAGUAGCUGAUGUGAGAGCAUGAUCAGCCACACGGGCACUGAGACACGGGCCCGACUCCUACGGGAGGCAGCAGUAAGGAAUAUUGGACAAUGGACGAAAGUCUGAUCCAGCCAUGCCGCGUGAAGGAUUAAGGUCCUCUGGAUUGUAAACUUCUUUUAUAUGGGACGAAAAAAGGGCAUUCUUGUUCACUUGACGGUACCAUAUGAAUAAGCACCGGCUAACUCCGUG